rnacentral:tmRNA from 1 species
GGGGAUGACUUUGGUUUCGACGGGGACACUGAAUUUGGAAUAGCGAGUCGUUUUCGUCUAAAAACGUAAAAAAUGGACAAAUAAAUAUAAACGCUGAAGAUAAUUUAGCAUUAGCUGCCUAAUUAAGGCGGUAGUCCACUUCGGUUUCUUGCACACCGAAGUCUGACUUCAAAUUUUUGCAAGACACUGAGUAAAGACUGUUUCGACUUUACUUAAGUACUAGAAACUACCUAUUACAUGUAUUUGCUUGUCGUUUAUUGUAGUAGGGAAUAAAAUACGAUAAGCUGCACUCGGAGAAGUUCCCUUGGAUGUGUUUUCGGACAGGAGUUCGACUCUCCUCAUCUCCACCA